GAUGAACGCUGGCGGCGUGCCUAAUACAUGCAAGUCGAGCGAACAGACGAGGAGCUUGCUCCUCUGACGUUAGCGGCGGACGGGUGAGUAACACGUGGAUAACCUACCUAUAAGUCUGGGAUAACUUCGGGAAACCGGAGCUAAUACCGGAUAAUAUAUUGAACCGCAUGGUUCAAUAGUGAAAGACGGUUUUGCUGUCACUUAUAGAUGGAUCCGCGCCGUAUUAGCUAGUUGGUAAGGUAACGGCUUACCAAGGCAACGAUGCGUAGCCGACGUGAUAGAGUGAUCGGCCACACUGGAGCUGAGACGCGGUCCAGACUCCUACGGGAGGCAGCAGUAGGGAAUCUUCCGCAAUGGGCGAAAGCCUUACGGAGCAACGCCGCGUGAGUGAUGAAGGUCUUCGGAUCGUAAAACUCUGUUAUUAGGGAAGAACAAAUGUGUAAGUAACUAUGCACGUCUUGACGGUACCUAAUCAGAAAGCCACGGCUAACUACGUG
rnacentral:rRNA from 1 species